rnacentral:rRNA from 1 species
CCCUUAGAUGUUCUGGGCGGCCCGCGCACUACAAUGGCGUGUGCAGCGAGUGCCGAAGUAGAGUUUUCCGAGGUAUUCUUGCAAUGCUCGUUUUGAUGGGGAUAGACCCUUGCAACUGUUGGUUUUGAACGAGGAAUUCCUUGUAAGCAUGGUUUAUCAUCCGACGCUGAAUGCGUCCCUGCCCUUUGUACACACCGCCCGUCGCUCCUACCGAUUGGAUGGUCCGGUGAAGCCUCGGGAUUGUGGUUCUUGCCGCUUUAUUGUGGCGUGACCGCGAGAACUUGUCUAAACCUUAUCAUCUAGAGGAAGGUGAAGUCGUAACA